rnacentral:rRNA from 1 species
UACGGAGGAGGCAAGCGUUAUCCGGAAUUAUUGGGCGUAAAGCGUCCGUAGGUGGUUGGCCAAGUCUGCUGUCAAAGGGUGGGGCUUAACCUCAGAAAGGCAGUGGAAACUGGCGAGCUAGAGUGCGGUAGGGGUAGGUGGAAUUCCCAGUGUAGCGGUGAAAUGCGUAGAGAUUGGGAAGAACAUCGGUGGCGAAAGCGACCUGCUGGGCCUGCACUGACACUGAGGGACGAAAGCUAGGGGAGCGAAUGGG